UACGUAGGGGGCUAGCGUUGUCCGGAAUCAUUGGGCGUAAAGCGCGUGUAGGCGGUCCGGUAAGUCCGCUGUGAAAGUCGGGGGCUCAACCCUCGAAUGCCGGUGGAUACUGUCGGGCUAGAGUGCGGAAGAGGCGAGUGGAAUUCCUGGUGUAGCGGUGAAAUGCGCAGAUAUCAGGAGGAACACCAGUAGCGAAGGCGGCACUCUGGGCCGGUACUGACGCUGAGGAGCGAAAGCGUGGGGAGCGAACAGG
rnacentral:rRNA from 1 species